rnacentral:rRNA from 1 species
AUUGAACGCUGGCGGCAGGCCUAACACAUGCAAGUCGAACGAGUGGCGGACGGGUGAGUAAUGUCUGGGAAAAUGCCUGAUGGCGGGGGAUAACUACUGGAAACGGUAGCUACUACCGCAUACCAUCAGAUGUGCCCAGAUGGGAUUAGCGAGUUGGUGGGGUAACGGCUAACAAAGGCGACGAUCCCUAGCUGGUCGGAGAGGAUGACCAGCCACACUGUAACUGAGACACGGUCCAGAUUCCUACGGGAUGCAGAAGUGGGGAAUAUUGCACAAUGGGCGCAAGCCUGAUGCAGCCAUGCCGCGUGUAUGAAGAAGGCCUUCGGGUUGUAAAGUACUUUCAGCGGGGAGGCGUUACCCGCAGAAGAAGCACCGGCUAACUCCGUGCCAGCAGCCGCGGUAAUUC